rnacentral:rRNA from 1 species
GGGGAAUUUUCCGCAAUGGGCGAAAGCCUGACGGAGCAAUACCGCGUGAGGGAGGAAGGCUCUUGGGUUGUAAACCUCUUUUCUACAGGGAAUAAGAANCUGAAGGUACCUGAGGAAUCAGCAUCGGCUAACUCCGUGCCAGCAGCCGCGGUAAUANCGGAGGAUGCAAGCGUUAUCCGGAAUGAUUGGGCGUAAAGCGUCCGCAGGUGGUUUAUCAAGUCUGCUGUCAAAGAGUUUGGCUCAACCAAAUAAAGGCAGUGGAAACUGACAGACUGGAGUGCGGUAAGGGCAGAGGGAAUUCCUGGUGUAGCGGUGAAAUGCGUAGAGAUCAGGAAGAACACCGGUGGCGAAAGCGCUCUGUCUGGGCCGUAACUGACACUGAGGGACGAAAGCUAGGGGAGCGAAUGGGAUUAGAUACCCCAGUAGUC